AGCGAACGCUGGCGCAUGCUUAACACAUGCAAGUCGCACGGGCAGUAGCAAUACUGUCAGUGGCGGACGGGUGAGUAACGCGUAGGAAUCUAUCCUUGAAUGGGGGACAACCGUGGGAAACUACGGCUAAUACCGCAUGAUGCCUGAGGGCCAAAGACGAAAGUCGUUUGAGGAGGAGCCUGCGUCUGAUUAGGUAGUUGGUGGGGUAAAGGCCUACCCAAGCCUACGAUCAGUAGCUGGUCUGAGAGGAUGAUCAGCCACAUUGGGACUGAGACACGGCCCAAACUCCUACGGGAGGCAGCAGUGGGGAAUAUUGGACAAUGGGCGCAAGCCUGAUCCAGCAAUGCCGCGUGGGUGAAGAAGGUCUUCGGAUUGUAAAGCCCUUUUGGCGGGGACGAUGAUGACGGUACCCGCAGAAUAAGCUCCGGCUAACUUCGUG
rnacentral:rRNA from 1 species